rnacentral:rRNA from 1 species
GAUGAACGCUGGCGGCGUGCCUAAUACAUGCAAGUCGAGCGAACAGACGAGGAGCUUGCUCCUCUGACGUUAGCGGCGGACGGGUGAGUAACACGUGGAUAACCUACCUAUAAGACUGGGAUAACUUCAGGAAACCGGAGCUAAUACCGGAUAAUAUAUUGAACCGCAUGGUUCAAUAGUGAAAGACGGUUUUGCUGUCACUUAUAGAUGGAUCCGCGCCGCACUAGCUAGUUGGUAAGGUAACGGCUUACCAAGGCAACGAUGCGUAGCCGACCUGAGAGGGUGAACGGCCACACUGGAACUGAGACACGGUCCAGACUCCUACGGGAGGCGGCAGUAGGGAAUCUUCCGCAAUGGGCUAAAGCCUGACGCAGCAACGGCGCGUGAGUGAUGAAGGUCUUCGGAUCGUAAAACGCUGUUAUUAGGGAAGAACAAAUGUGUAAGUAACUAUGCACGUCUUGACGGUACCUAAUCAGAAAGCCACGGCUAACUACGUG